GCAUAUCAAUAAGCGGAGGAAAAGAAACCAACAGGGAUUGCCCUAGUAACGGCGAGUGAAGCGGCAACAGCUCAAAUUUGAAAUCUGGCUCUUUCAGAGUCCGAGUUGUAAUUUGCAGAGGGCGCUUUGGCUUUGGCAGCGGUCCAAGUUCCUUGGAACAGGACGUCACAGAGGGUGAGAAUCCCGUACGUGGUCGCUAGCUAUUGCCGUGUAAAGCCCCUUCGACGAGUCGAGUUGUUUGGGAAUGCAGCUCUAAAUGGGAGGUAAAUUUCUUCUAAAGCUAAAUAUUGGCCAGAGACCGAUAGCGCACAAGUAGAGUGAUCGAAAGAUGAAAAGCACUUUGGAAAGAGAGUCAAACAGCACGUGAAAUUGUUGAAAGGGAAGCGCUUGCAGCCAGACUUGCUUGCAGUUGCUCAUCCGGGCUUUUGCCCGGUGCACUCUUCUGCAGGCAGGCCAGCAUCAGUUUGGGCGGUGGGAUAAAGGUCUCUGUCACGUACCAUCCUUCGGGAUGGCCAUAUAGGGGAGACGUCAUACCACCAGCCUGGACUGAGGUCCGCGCAUCUGCUAGGAUGCUGGCGUAAUGGCUGUAAGCGGCCCGU
rnacentral:rRNA from 1 species